rnacentral:lncRNA from 1 species
GAAGAAUGGAGUUGAAGAUAAAGGUCGAAGACUCAAGAAAAUAGAAGAAAAUUGAAGAUUUGAAGAGUCGACGCACCGCCCGGCGGUAACUUACACCGCUGGCGCUAGCCGGUUUUGAGGGAAACCGUCGAGCGGUAGACCUACCGCCGGGCGGUGGUGCGAUUUGUGGGAAACCGCCGGGUGCCACACUUGUUCCGCCGGGCGGUAGUCUGCUGGGCUUGAGCCUGUUUUCUGUUGCGCUCCUCACUUAUAAAUAGCCCUAUUGCGAGUACAGAGGUAUUCUUUUGACAGAGGGAGACGACCAGACCUAAUUUUGCUCUCUAGAGAGGAUCUCUUGGAUGCUUA